rnacentral:rRNA from 1 species
GACGAACGCUGGCGGCGUGCCUAAUACAUGCAAGUUGAGCGCUGAAGGUGGGUACUUGUACCAACUGGAUGAGCAGCGAACGGGUGAGUAACGCGUGGGGAAUCUGCCUUUGAGCGGGGGACAACAUUGGGAAACGAAUGCUAAUACCGCAUAAAACCUUUAAACACAAGUUUUAAGUUUGAAAGAGGCAAUUGCCUCACUCAAAAGUGAUCCGAGGUUGGAUUAGCUAGUUGGGGAGGUAAAGGCCCACGAAGGGGAUGAUACGUAGCCGACCUGGAGGGUGAUCGGCCACAUUGGGACUUGGACCAGGCCCAAACUCCUACGGGGAGCAACAAUAGGGAAUCUUCGGAAAUGGACGAAAGUCUGAACGAGCAACGCCGCGUGGGUGAAGGAGGUUUUCGGAUCGGAAAACUCUGUUGGUAGAGAAGAAAGUUGGUGAGAGUGGAAAGCUCAUCAAGUGACGGUAACCACCCAGAAAGGGACGGCUAACUACGUG